rnacentral:lncRNA from 1 species
UUCCACCAUCACCGCAACACAAGGCAAGGGUAGAGUCCUUUCCCUAAGCACAUGACCACAACAGGACCAAGCCAACAAGGAAGAAGGGGGAGAAAUGGAUUUGGGCAGCCAGACAGCACUGUCUGCUUUACCCGCCUACCUCCAUGUAUGAAUUGUUUGGUUCAAAGGGUGCUGCACAGGAUUCCUCAGGGCUACACGAGUUAAAGACAAAGAUUCAAGGACCCUGGAAGAGUCUCUCUGUCAAGGCAGUGCUGGCAUCUGCAGCAAGAUAGAGCUCCCUGCAGGGUGUCCCUGGUGAAAACUGCAGACAAGUGCUCUGAGGUGCUGCUGCAGUGGGCUCCUCACCAGACCAGUUCUGCAGCGUGGUUUGAGUGUUGUUCCUGGCUGCAAACCUGCUUCUCCAGCCCGCCUACUGAUUCUGGAAGCUGCCCAAAUAUCCUUUUAAUGAAUUCCUUUUCUGCCUAAAUCAUCUAGAGUCCAAUUCUGUUGCUUGCAAUCAAGGUUCUAGACUGAUACGCACCUGUAACUCCUUCAGGAAUUUGUCCUACUUCUGAGAAGUCCCAAAGGGCUUUGUCCCCAAGGACAGUUUCUAUGACAAAUCUACAAAGGGGAUUCUCUGUAAAUGCCCAUUCUGUUAUGAAUACUAAAAUUAGAGACCGUAAGGCUAGCCACCAUUGUUCCAUAGUAUCUAGUUUAGUACCAGCGAGCACAUAUGUUCUAAGCAAUGCUGGAAAGCCCCUUUCAAAUAACUUUUGCCUUGGCAAAAGACGUUGUAAUGCUUCUUGAAAUAGUUUCAUGAUGUCAUUUACGUAGUAGACCUGAUUUCUGCGAACACAUUAUUUUGAAAUGAGGAUUUAAAUUGUGCUUUGGCAGGAACUGAAUAUUCAAAUGUAAUGAGUUUAAUUGAUUAUGAGAAUGUUUCUUUUAAGAUGAUGCAAUAACUGCCUGGUAUUGAGCCUGCUGCUCCAGUGUGCACUAGUAGAAAGGCUUUCAAAAUUGAUCUUGGUACAUUUGAAAUCUGGUAAGCAAUUGAUUCUCUCUCUAAGCCUCAGUAUAGAAUCUAGUUCUAAGUGAUAAGGCACUAACAAUGCCCUGAAACCAGACCAAAAUGGGUCUGCCUCUUGCUAGAGCUUUGAAUUCCAGCCAUGGGAGUAUGACUGGGGAGAGAUUCAACCUGUGGGGCCAUCUCCUCCUCUCAUGACUGCGUGGACCCACUUUCCCCAUUUGUCUCUACCUGCUGUGCCCACUUCGGGAGGGCCAAAAGUGUGCUGUAUUCGAGGCUGUACCAAAGAUGUUACCAGAGCUGCUGAGCAUCUGAGACUUAGCGGGUAUAGAGGGUGUCUGCAGGCCAAAAAUAUAUGUGCUGGCAAAGGAAUCUUGGAGGGGCAAGAAACUGAUCUAUAUCUUGAUUGUGGUGGUGGUUAUGACUCUAGGCAUCUGUUUAAACUCAUAGACCUGUACACUAAUAUGAGCAAAUUUUACUGUAUGCAAAUUAAAUAUAAACCAGGCAUGUCGAUUUGCACGUGUAAUCUCAGGUACUCGGGAGGCUGAAGUGGAAGGAUUGCUUGGGGCCAGGAGUGCAAGAGCAGCCUGGGCCGCAUAGCAAGACUGCCUCUAAAAAAAAUUAAUUAGGCCGGGCGCGGUGGCUCAAGCCUGUAAUCCCAGCACUUUGGGAGGUCGAGGCCGGUGGAUCAUGAGGUCAGGAGACGGAGACCAUCCUAGUUAACACGGUGAAACCCCGUCUCUACUAAAAAUACAAAAAAUUAGCUGGGCAUGGUGGCAGGCUCCUGUAAUCCCAGCUACUCGGGAGGCUGAGGCAGGAGAAUGGCGUGAACCCAGGAGGCGGACCAUGCAGUGAGCCGAGAUCGCGCCACUGCACCCCAGCCUGGGCGACAGAGCGAGACUCCGCCUCAAAAAAAAAUUAAUUAAUUAAACAUAAAUUUUAAAACAAGAAUAUGUGUGCUGGAAUAUCCACUUUCCACAUGUGAAUUGCCGUACAGUGGCACAGUGUGCAGGCACAUGACCACAGUGUCUCCAAUCUAAUCUGGAAGCAUUAUGUGGCUCAGUUCACACUUCAAUACCCAGCUCAAUUAUAUAAUUCUUUUUUUUUUUUUUAAGACAGCGUCUCACUCUGUCACCCAGUCUGGAGUAGAGUGGUGCCAUUAAAGCUCACUGCAGCCUCAAACUCCUGGGCUCAAAUGAUCCUCCUGACUCAAUCUCCUGAGUAGUUGGGACUUUGGGUGCAUGCCACUGAGCCCAGCUAAUUUUUAAAACCUUUUGUAGAGACAAGGUCUCACUUUUUUGCCCAGGCUGGUCUCAAACUCUUGGGCUCAAGUGAUCCUCCCGCCUCAACAUCCUAAAGUGCUGGAUUUGCAGGCAUCAGCCACCAUGCCCAGCCUCAAUUAUGUAAUUUUUUUUUAAUAGAGACAAGGUCUCCCUAUGUUGCCUAGGCUGGUCUUGAACUUCUGGGCUUAAGGGAUCCUCCCUCCUCAGCCUCCCAAAGUGUUGGGAUUACAGUCAUGAGCUACCGUGCCUGGCCCCAAUUAUGUAAUUCAAAAAUUUGUGAGUGACUGCCCACUUUAGGGCAGAGAAUUAACAUGUGUGAGGAAGGUACGGGGCUUGGUUUUCUUGUGGGCUCCUACUGAAGGCCAAGAGAAUCUGCUCCUGGCUGGGCUCGGUGGCUCAUGCUUGUAAUCCCGGCACUUUGGGAGACCAAAGCAGGAAGAUCACUUGAGCUCUGGAGUUCAAGACUAGCCUGGGGAACAUGGUGAGACCCCCCCAUCUCCACAAAAAGUAAAACAAUUAGCCAGGUGUGGUGGCAUGCACCUGUGGCCCCGGUGACUCGAGAGGCUAAGCUGGGAGGAUCACUUGAGCCAGGGAGG